GAUUCGGAAAGGAUUGACAGAUUGAUAGCUCUUUCUCGAUUCUGUGGGUGGUGGUGCAUGGCCGUUCUUAGUUGGUGGAGCGAUUUGUCUGGUUAAUUCCGAUAACGAACGAGACUCCUCCAUGCUAACUAGUUACGCGACCCCCGGCAAACUUCAUUUUUUAAAUUUUACUGAAUUCUCACGGUGCUCCGCCUUUUUUGUUCUCAGCAUUACUUUGAGGGUUUACUUGUAUAUUUAGGUGGACCUAUCUAAUAAGGCUUACUUAGUUUUAACAUUACCGUCUCCUUUAAGGUGGCGGUCAGGUGGGCCCCAAAUCCCAGCCUGAUACUGCUAACAU
rnacentral:ncRNA from 1 species